CCUUUCCCUGUUAAUGCCCUACAUGGCCCCCUGGCAAAACUUUGCUAGACCCGCCCCUGCACAGUUACCAGCUGUCAGCUACGUAGAAAAGGAUCCUGGUGUCAUUUGUCUCUCAGAAACAGUUCAUAACUUCCCUUCAACUCAUUCAUGUCAUCUAAAAGUCCUGUGUCCUUCAUUUUCACAGAAUACAUUGCAUUUUUGCGAGAAAUGCAUCCUUAAAAAAUGCACGAAGAAAGAAAAGAAGAAAACAGUCAGCAUGAAGCGAGCAGAUCCUGAUUUUACUAAACCAAAAAAGGAAGAAACUGAGAUUCUGGGUUCAUGAUGUGACCACGCCUGAGGUGGCAGAGAAAUCAUUUCAGAGAGCCAGCGGUGAGCCGUUCUGUGACACGGUGAACAAUACCCCGAUGGCCCAUCACAGCAGAACAGAACAGGACUUCCUGGAGUCUAGACGCUGGUGGUGGAGAUGAAGAUGGAGGCUUGGAUGGAGCCUGACUAACAUGGGUGAGGCGGAGAUGGAGG
ensembl:lncRNA